rnacentral:rRNA from 1 species
CCUACGGGAGGCUGCAGUGGGGAAUAUUGGACAAUGGGGGCAACCCUGAUCCAGCCAUGCCGCGUGUGUGAAGAAGGCCCUCGGGUUGUAAAGCACUUUCAGUGAGGAAGAACGCCUGGUGGUUAAUACCCAUCAGGAAAGACAUCACUCACAGAAGAAGCACCGGCUAACUCCGUGCCAGCAGCCGCGGUAAUACGGAGGGUGCGAGCGUUAAUCGGAAUUACUGGGCGUAAAGCGCGCGUAGGUGGCUUGAUAAGCCGGUUGUGAAAGCCCUGGGCUCAACCUGGGAACGGCAUCCGGAACUGUCAAGCUAGAGUGCAGGAGAGGAAGGUAGAAUUCCCGGUGUAGCGGUGAAAUGCGUAGAGAUCGGGAGGAAUACCAGUGGCGAAGGCGGCCUUCUGGACUGACACUGACACUGAGGUGCGAAAGCGUGGGUAGCAAACAGGAUUAGAUACCCGGGUAGUC